rnacentral:rRNA from 1 species
UACGGAGGGGACUAGCGUUGUUCGGAAUUACUGGGCGUAAAGCGCACGUAGGCGGAUUUGUAAGUCAGGGGUGAAAUCCCGGGGCUCAACCUCGGAACUGCCUUCGAUACUGCGGGUCUCGAGUCCGGGAGAGGUGAGUGGAAUUCCUAGUGUAGAGGUGAAAUUCGUAGAUAUUAGGAAGAACACCAGUGGCGAAGGCGGCUCACUGGCCCGGUACUGACGCUGAGGCGCGAAAGCGUGGGGAGCAAACAGG